rnacentral:rRNA from 1 species
GGGACGUCGAAGGCCCGGACGGAUUGGUACCCUACCGGCUGGGGAUGCGGCUUCGGCUUCUCCUCUUGUCCGGUGGGCGAAACCGCCGGUGUCCUGGCUGCCCUGCGACGGUCGUAGAGACGAGCCCUUCCCUUCGGGGGGGCGGCUCUCGCGGCGUGCAAAAGGUCGGUGAUCCACCCGACCCGUCUUGAAACACGGACCAAGGAGUCUAACAUGUGUGCGAGUCAGUGGGCGCACUAAACCCAGAGGCGUAAUGAAAGUGACACGGKUUCGGCUGUCGCCUCGUGUGGCAGCCGGACUCAGGGCCGAUCCCUCACCGGUUGGCCUCGCCUCUCUCCCGCGUCUCGGUAAGCCGGGUGAGCUAUUUUCCCCGGCCGCUGCUGCGGGGCGCGUGGGGA